CAGUUGGAUUAAGCAAUAGUAGCUUUUUGUUCUAGCUGUAAGGCCUGAUGAUACCAGUAAAGGAGGCAAGCACCUGUGGUUUCAGGCUUUUCUUUCAAGCAUGACUGAAAAUUUGAGACAGUGGUAACAAAUCAUCUGCAUGGUGCUUCAGAACACUUCGCUGCAACGAGGCCUGGGACCAAGAUGAACUAAAUGCAAAUUAGUCCAAGAAAGCCCUCCUUGUCAUGAAGUUAAUAUUUUUACUGCUGACUGGCAAGAAAUAACAGAGGGAAGCAGUUCUGCCUCACUGUAGUGGAGUUAUUGUGAUAUCCAUGUCUGUUCAUCUGGGUGUCCUAAAUCCAAAUCCUAUGAACUUUCUCACCAAGAGAUAGAUAUUAUUAGUUUUCUCAUCCACCUGAUGGAUAUUCUGAACCUCUUUACAACUCUGAAGUAUGCUUUUAGAGGCCUUUCAGUAGGAUAUAUGGUGGAUUUGAAGCAUCUCCAGCCCCUCAUGCCUGAGGUUUUUUCUUCUUACCGUGAAAAGGGGUGUUUUUGCUCUUGUGCAGAUAAGGUUGACUGAAAGUGAACCUUUGCCCUGGAAGAUACAGAGGUGUGCCCUGACUGUACCAGUUUGCUGUUCUGUACUCUUGCCUACUGAGGGUGAGGAACCUGAACCUAAGAUAUGAUUCCCUUGAGCAGAAGAACUGGAGCUGCCAGAGACAUCAAGUUCCCAUUUUCUGUUUUCAAAAUGCCUUUCAACAUCUUGGCAUUAAAGAAGCAUGUUUAUUAUUCUGAUAACUUUUUCAGUGGAAAAGUAAACAGUCUUGUGUCUGCUUUAAACCUGAAGUACUGUGGAAAGCUCAUAGGAGAAAUUAAGAAACUUUUAGAACUGAUUUUUUUUUUUUUGAGGGUAGUGUUCCUUCAUGUGGUGUGAAACUCUCAGCCCUCUUCAGUGUGGCAUAUCUAUGGAAAGAAUGUUAGCUUUUUUGUUGUUGAUGAUGGGGACUCCAUCAACAUGCUAUUUGAUAUUUCUUCUAAAAGUAGCAUUUUGGGUGUAUCCAGAUGUAAGACAACUCUCCUGCACUAAAUAUUCUGGAUUAAUUACUUCUCUCAAUAGUUGGAAAUCUGAUAAGGUUACCAAAAAUAAGUGAAAUAUUUUGAAUCCUUGUAAUAUUUUUUUCCUCUACAGAAAUGACCUUAUAAUAAAAGAUACAAAACAAGGCCUGGAUUCAAUACCUGGGUCUACCACAGACUCUUUCCAUGGCACUGGUUGAGUCAUUUAAUAUUUUUUCCUCUCUGACUUACACAAACAGUUCCUCCUGUCCUUUAGUUAUUGUGGUGAUAAAUGAUACACGUCAGUUUAGGAGGUGAUGGAAUUCUAUAGCAACAAAAGCCAGAUAACACUUGGUGUUGUUGCUUUUUUGUUUUGUUUUUGUGGACUUUGCCUUUACUCCUCAGUAUCUUUUCAUGUUAAUAAAUGCUGCCUUCAGAAAGGGUCUGAGAGUGACCUGUAGUCACUGUAACUUGGUGGGUGAGGUGGCUUAAUUUUGAGCAGGCUUGUCUACAGUAGGUGUUAAAGGACUAGUGUGAUUUAACUGGGAUUGCAGCUAUAUGUGUUGUGUGCUGUUCUGUUCAGUGAAUAAAAGUCUUGUGGAAACCAAUACAUCUCCUAACAAAAAAGUUUCCCUCUUUUGUUAGUGGGAGAUGAGCAUUUUCUGUACUGAUUCAAUAAAAUCAACAAUGCAUUUCUA